AUUGAACGCUGGCGGCAUGCCUUACACAUGCAAGUCGAACGGUAGCGCGGGGCAACCUGGCGACGAGUGGCGAACGGGUGAGUAAAGCAUCGGAACGUGCCCUGGAAUGGGGGGAUAACGUAGCGAAAGUUACGCUAAUACCGCAUAUUCUGUGAGCAGGAAAGCAGGGGAUCGCAAGACCUUGCGUUCUGGGAGCGGCCGAUGUCGGAUUAGCUAGUUGGUGGGGUAAAAGCCUACCAAGGCGACGAUCCGUAGCGGGUCUGAGAGGAUGAUCCGCCACACUGGGACUGAGACACGGCCCAGACUCCUACGGGAGGCAGCAGUGGGGAAUUUUGGACAAUGGGCGGAAGCCUGAUCCAGCCAUGCCGCGUGAGUGAAGAAAGCCUUCGGGUUGUAAAGCUCUUUCGGUGGGGAAGAAAUUGCACGGGUUAAUACCCUGUGUAGAUGACGGUACCCGACUAAGAAGCACCGG
rnacentral:rRNA from 1 species